rnacentral:rRNA from 1 species
AUUGAACGCUGGCGGCAUGCCUUACACAUGCAAGUCGAACGGUAACAGUUCUUCGGAUGCUGACGAGUGGCGAACGGGUGAGUAAUACAUCGGAACGUGCCUAGUAGUGGGGGAUAACUACUCGAAAGAGUGGCUAAUACCGCAUGAGAUCUACGGAUGGAAGCAGGGGAUCGCAAGACCUUGUGCUACUAGAGCGGCCGAUGGCAGAUUAGGUAGUUGGUGGGAUAAAAGCUUACCAAGCCGACGAUCUGUAGCUGGUCUGAGAGGACGAUCAGCCACACUGGGACUGAGACACGGCCCAGACUCCUACGGGAGGCAGCAGUGGGGAAUUUUGGACAAUGGGCGAAAGCCUGAUCCAGCAAUGCCGCGUGCAGGAUGAAGGCCUUCGGGUUGUAAACUGCUUUUGUACGGAACGAAAAGCCCCGGGUUAAUACCCUGGGGUCAUGACGGUACCGUAAGAAUAAGCACCGGCUAACUACGUGCCAGCCGCCGCGGUAA